rnacentral:rRNA from 1 species
AAUAUUGCGCAAUGGAGGCAACUCUGACGCAGCGACGCCGCGUGAGCGAUGAAGGUCUUCGGAUCGUAAAGCUCUGUCCUCAGGGAAGAAUAAGAUGACGGUACAUGAGGAGGAAGCCCCGGCUAACUACGUGCAAGCAGCCGCGGUAAUACGUAGGGGGCAAGCGUUGUCCGGAAUUAUUGGGCGUAAAGGGUGCGUAGGCGGCUUAUUAAGUCUGAUGGGAAAUACCACGGCUUACCCGUGGGGUUGCAUUGGAAACUGGUGGGCUUGAGUAUCGGAGAGGAUAGUGGAAUUCCUAGUGUAGCGGUGAAAUGCGUAGAUAUUAGGAGGAACACCAGUGGCGAAGGCGACUGUCUGGACGAUAACUGACGCUGAGGCACGAAAGCUAGGGUAGCGA